ACGAACGCUGGCGGCGUGCUUAACACAUGCAAGUCGUACGGUAAGGCCCUUUCGGGGGUACACGAGUGGCGAACGGGUGAGUAACACGUGAGUAACCUGCCCACAACUUUGGGAUAACGCUAGGAAACUGGUGCUAAUACUGGAUAUGUGCUCCUGCUGCAUGGUGGGGGUUGGAAAGCUCCGGCGGUUGUGGAUGGACUCGCGGCCUAUCAGCUUGUUGGUGGGGUAGUGGCCUACCAAGGCGGCGACGGGUAGCCGGCCUGAGAGGGUGACCGGUCACAUUGGGACUGAGAUACGGCCCAGACUCCUACGGGAGGCAGCAGUGGGGAAUAUUGCACAAUGGGCGCAAGCCUGAUGCAGCAACGCCGCGUGCGGGAUGACGGCCUUCGGGUUGUAAACCGCUUUCAGCAGGGACGAAGCUUUUUGUGACGGUACCUGCAGAAGAAGCACCGGCUAACUACGUG
rnacentral:rRNA from 1 species